rnacentral:rRNA from 1 species
GACGAACGCUGGCGGCGUGCCUAAUACAUGCAAGUCGAACGCAGUGGGUAUGGGUGAGUAACACGUGGGUAACCUCCCAUCCGUGGGGAUAACACUUGGACACAGGUGCUAAACCGAUACUGAUGGAUGGACCCGCGGUGUAUUAGCUAGUGGGUGUGGUAACGGCUCACCAAGGCCACGAUGCAUAGCCGACCUGGGAGGGUGUGCGGCCAGGGUGGAGCUGAGACAGAGCCGAGUAUCCUACAGGAGGAAGCAGUAGGGAAUAGUCGGUGAAGGACGAAAGUCUGACCGAGCAAAGCAGCGUGAGUGAAGAAGGUUUUCGGAUCGAAAAACUCUGUUGUUAGAGAAGCGGUAUCUAACCAGAAAGCCACGGCUAACCACGUGCCAGCAGCCGCGGUAAUAC